GCCACGGUAGUGCAGCCGGUUAGCAUACCUCCUCAAAGUCAGUCCGGAGUGUACCCGCUGUGAGAGAGGAGACUGGGAUUCGAAUUCCCAUCGAGGCG